UAAUGACCGUCAAUCGGGGAGGUUCAUAUGAAUACACAACUUCCAACUGUGGAGACACAGCAAACCGUGGAGCUCCACAGUUGCAGAAUCAUUAAAACGAGAUUUAAAUCAGCUUUGGGACAUCUCAGUAGUACCCCAUCAACGUUCGGCUGCGAUUUAACUCCAUCCCCGGUUUCCCACUUUGGAGUCAUAGCUUGCAGCCUGAAUAUGUGUAUUAUUUUCCGAUCUCAAGAAUAAUAUCAAGUGAAGAGCGCCAGCAUGAGGAUACACACUGCACAGUCUGUAUCUUAUUAGAUGCAGCGCAUGCGCAGUGCUGGUGCAGUGCACCUUGCGACGUGCCUGUUAACGUAUAUGGACAUGUCAUGGCGGGAUUAGUACAGCCACAACUGGCAAAAAAUCGGAUUCUCAGAAGUCAAACCAGACAGACAGUUCCAGAUAUUUUUAGUGAAGUUGAUCCUGAAGGAUUUACAGUAAAACAGCUGCCUGACAAAGGUGAGUGAGGUUACAUACAUGUACAUGUAGAUUGUAUUAAUAGUGAAAAUUCACUGUAGCAUAGAUAUCUAACAUUAAUAUGCUCAAUAAAAUAUUGAUUCAGAGCUAGACUAUGCAAGGAACGCCUGGUAUGGUUCUUUGAUCACACCUCAUCGCCUAUUGUCUGAAAA